AAGAUUAGACAGCAGUGAUUGUGCUCCAGGCAGCUAAACGAUAGCUUCUUGUUAAUGUCAUUCAUUCAUUAGCCCCCUUUGGGAAUAGCACUAUCCAUUGCAUCCACAUAAUUCAUUCACUAUUGUUUCAUAUUAUGAA